rnacentral:rRNA from 1 species
CGUCCGUAACGAGCGCAACCCUUGUCCUUAGUUACCAGCACGUUAUGGUGGGCACUCUAAGGAGACUGCCGGUGACAAACCGGAGGAAGGUGGGGAUGACGUCAAGUCAUCAUGGCCCUUACGGCCUGGGCUACACACGUGCUACAAUGGUCGGUACAAAGGGUUGCCAAGCCGCGAGGUGGAGCUAAUCCCAUAAAACCGAUCGUAGUCCGGAUCGCAGUCUGCAACUCGACUGCGUGAAGUCGGAAUCGCCAGUAAUCGUGAAUCAGAAUGUCACGGUGAAUACGUUCCCGGGCCUU